GCGGGUGUGUUGGAAUUGGUAGACAACCCAGACUUAGGAUCUGGUGGCGAAAGCCGUGGGAGUUCGAGCCUCCCCACCCGUA
rnacentral:tRNA from 1 species